AGGUUUCAUGUUAUUGAACGGAGC
rnacentral:siRNA from 1 species